UUAAUUGAAACCAAAGUAGAGGUAACUUAUUGUUAAUAAGAUCAUUAAAUAAAAUUUCAAUUAAA
rnacentral:tRNA from 1 species